ACCCCUCGACCGCCAUUAGGAAGCUGAAGACAGUCACGGAAGCACCUCUCUCUCUCUCGCCUUAAUCAUGUGGGCUAAGUUUAUGAUGGUGAUGAUGGUGGCGGCUCUGGUGAUUCUGGCCACAGCUGAGGCGGCUCCUGGUUACCUUGGUGGCGGCUACGGUGGGGGCCAAGGCGGCUUUGGCGGCUACACAGGUUAUGGAGGUUAUGGAAGCGGUUUCAAUUCGGGCGGCCACGGUUACGGCAGAUAAGACACCUGGGCCGCCCUCCUCACCUGACCAGCUCACCUGUACGUCUUCUUAAUUACAAAUAAAUUCAUUAAACGCA